UUCAUUCUUCACUCUCCCUCAAGGGCUUCUGUGUGUUUUUUGGUCGAAAGACCAAUUCAGAGGUCCUGUAGGGAGAGUGGAUAAUAU
rnacentral:pre_miRNA from 9 species